AAGAAGCUCUGAUCAACCAUGGUUAGCUGCAAGAAUUGGGCAUGACCCCUCAAAUCGGAGCACACACCUAGUUCCUUGAAGGUACCUACAGACAGAUGAAGAAUCUUAAUGAGCAGAGAGAACACACGCAUGCCAACGUCUUCAUCAGUUACAUUAAACAAAGAUGAGACUGCCCCUUGGUUUGCAAUCAAGGUUACAAAAUGAGACGAGGAAACGCCCCUCAAGUGCCCAGUUACUUUUGAAGAGAGAAGUGAAACUUAGAGCACAUCAUUCAGUUGCUGAAAUGAGAAGAUGGCAUUCAUGGAAUUUCUGGUGGAGACUGGCCAGCUGUCCACUAACCCUGCUUCCUCGCCUUCCUGGACACGCAGCAAACUACACUUCCCAGCCUCCCUGGCAGUUAGACAUGGUCAUGUGACUGAGUUGUAGCCAGUGUAGCUGGCAAGCAUAUUUCAUGACCUUGAUCCUUCUGGAUCGAAUAACAUGGCAACCUUCCAAAGGUCUUUGUUGAUCACGGUGAACCCACAGGAUGGAAGGAGCCUGGGUUCCUGGAUCACUACUUGGCAGAGAGUCACUUGCUGAUGAGAACACCUGUUUUGGAUUUUACGUUAAUGAAAAACAAAUUGGUAUUGUAUUUGAGACAUUACACACUUAUGCUGUAUUACAGUCUUCUGUAUACAAUACAGAAAGUUCUGGUGAAUCCAUUUCCCAACAAAACCAUCUUUUCCCAUCAAAAACCAACACUCCUUCCGAAGACAAGAUUUCCUCCCAACAGGUUCAAACUUCCAGCCACAUACAUAUUAACUGAUCGGCAUGAAGCAAGUCAAUGAGCAAGGGUGGAAUUCAUAGCUAUUUAUUUUAUUGUUGUGAUGAUAAUAAAUAUAAUAGGUACAGCUUCCUUGGGAAUAAUCUUGCUAUUAGUGAUAAUGGGUGAAAGGCUGUGGCAUGUGAUUUGGGUGAGUGUCCUGUGUUCAUGGGGAACAUUCAAGGCUGCUAAUCUGGGCUGUAAUUUCUCAUUUCUCCUCAACUGCUUUGCUUUUUAUGGAACUUAUAUUGAUGAAUGCAGGUGAUAACUGUCAGUUCACCUGGUAAAGCCCAGCGUGAGAAGUUUAACAAUUUAUCUCAUGUAUCCUGAAGGCAGUAGGGGAGAGAGAGAGAGACAGAGAGAGAGAGAGAGAGAGGCUCUAGGCCUCGAACAGGUUCAGCCCACCCUUGUCUCCACACGUCCACCCUUGGCUCUCAGCUCCCCCCCCCCCCAAUCUAUUUUCCUCCUCGUGUUUUGCCAGAUUUGUAGUUUUCUCAUGGUAAAUCAAAUUAUAUCACUCCUCUUCUCAAAAUGCCUCAAUGGCUUCUUAUCUAAUUUAAAUAUAAGCAAGAAGUCUUCUUGGGAUUUCCAUUUGUCAUUCUCCCGGGAGCCGUGCCUUUCGCUGUGUCAUUCUGCAGUGUCCUCCCCUCUGAGUUCAGGCAUGUGAUACGUUUUGGGCGAUGGAAUGUGACAGAAAGGAUGGAUACACCGCUUCUGAGUCUGGACUUCAAGAGGCUUUACAUAUUUUGAGUUGCUUUGUUGUGCCGUGAGAAACUCGCACCUGGUCUAGCCCUGCUGGUCCCAGGAGGAUGAGACACACAUGGAAGAGAAUCAUCCUAACGAAAGCCCCCCAGCCGGGUCAGCAUAGGGCAGAAGCCCCAGCUGAUGCUUCAGCAAACCAUCCAGCCCAUGGACACAAGAGGAAGCCCCUCCGAGGGGACCGGCAAGGCCAGCAAGAUGGCAUAGCCACACCCAGCCUGGUUCUGCUCAGCCCCAAACACAGGAGAGAAAUAAACAUUUUUUGCUCUAAGCCAUCGUCUGGGGCACGCUUAGUUACACAGCCACAACAACCAAAGCACUGACCUACGGUUCAUUUUCUAAGCUCAAAUGACUUGCUUAAUCUCAUCUCAUUCUAAAGUUCUAAUAUGCUCUCUGUUUUUACCAACCACACCGGCCUUCCUUUGGUUCCAAAUGUGACAAGCUUUCUCCUGUCCUGAAGUCUCUGUGCGUAUAGUUGUCCCUUAAUGGAGCAAUGCCACUGCUCUACACUCUCCCCACAUAGUUGGCCACUGCUCACCAUCCGCAUUUCUACUCAAACGCAGUCCAAGAGAAACCCCUACAACGAUGCCAUCUGAACUUGGCCUCCAUGGUCACUCUCUCUGGGGCAUCCUGGCGUGCUGCACAUGGCUUACAGACACGGAAUGCUCUGGCUCCACCUCGGGGUGUUGCAUCUUCCAGGUGCCAGCCAGAGCCAUCUCAUCCAUUAAAUUCAGUUGUGCUGAACGAAUUUUCUGUGUAUACCCUGACGGGAAAAACCUGGCAAUUGCUGCUUACAUCACUACGCUUACUUUUUUUUUUCCAUGUCACUUGCUACGGCCUCAAAGUAUCCUUUUGCCUUAAAAAAAUAAUAAUUUUUUCGUAUAGAUUGUCUGCCUCAACCCAUGAGACUAAGGGCUGGCAAAAUCAUACCUGUUGCCUGUUCUUAUAAAGUUUUAUUGGCACACAGCCACGCCCACUCA